rnacentral:rRNA from 1 species
AGGACGAACGCUGGCGGCGUGCUUAACACAUGCAAGUCACGGGGGCCCGCAAGGGUAACCGGCGAACGGGUGCGUAGCACGUGAGCAACCUGCCUAGAUGUGGGGGAUAGCCGGCCCAACGGCCGGGUAAUACCGCAUACGGUCACGAGGAGGAGUCUCCUUGUGAAGAAACCUCCGGGGCAUUUAGAGGGGCUCGCGGCCUAUCAGCUAGUUGGCGGGGUAAUGGCCCACCAAGGCUUCGACGGGUAGCUGGUCUGAGAGGAUGGCCAGCCACAUUGGGACUGAGAGACGGCCCAGACUCCUACGGGAGGCAGCAGUGGGGAAUCUUGCGCAAUGGCCGAAAGGCUGACGCAGCGACGCCGCGUGUGGGAGGACGCCCUUCGGGGUGUAAACCACUGUUGCCCGGGACGAACAUCCACUUUCGAGUGGACUGACGGUACCGGGUGAGGAAGCACCGGCUAACUCCGUGCCAGCAGCCGC